UUUCGCACUCACACGACCCAGACCUUGUAGACAAACUAGAGUUUGAUUGAAGCGGACAACUUAGAAUGGCCCACGAGUUUGUCAAACGUUGAGAAUCUAGUUGAGGAUCUGUGAUGUGAUGUGGCCGGGAACCGUAUCAGAAAAGCAGCAGCAGCAGCGUCACAGUGUCUCUUUGCUUCCACACACCUGACUCAAAUGGCUUCUGAAGCUCUUGAUGGCUUGGAUCAGGUGCUCUGGAACAGACAGAGGCUCAUCUAAACCAUGCAGAGUAGAGCUACCUGAGGACCAGUGUUGAUGUAAAAGACUGAAAUGUCCCUCUGUUUACUUCAACAACACCAAAACCUCCCCAUAACAACUCGGCUCCCCGGAGAGUGUCGGGAUGCAACCAGCUCCAUAGACCCAGGGAAGACGGUCUAAUGGCCUCCCAGCACCACGGCUAAAAUCAAGACUUCUCUGAGACCAGAGCCUGUGUUCCUCCGAUUGUCCUCUUCAGCUGAAGUGGUGAGAGCGUUCAUCCGCACCAAGCAUGCAAACUCUGCGAACCAAGAUGGAGAUGAGGUUGUCACCCCGGCAUCUACAACCACAAAGAGGGACAGAAGCAGUAACAAUCGCGCUCAAAGACGCAGAUGUGAAUGACUCUAUUCUCCUCCUGGUUUCCUCGGUUCUGGGUUGUGGGCUGCAGAGCGGAGCUGCUUUCUCCAUCAGAACCGGCGGCUGCAACACCUCCAGACUGUUCAUGCUCGCUCCCUGCCUCACCUCUAAUUUAAAUAUCCAUCAUCUGUGCUGUCUGUCAUGUGCGGCCGGAUCGUACAAAAAAUAGUUCUGACAAAACUUAGAA